UACGUAGGGAGCAGGCGUUGUUCGGAUUUACUGGGCGUAAAGGGCGCGUAGGCGGCAAUUCAAGUCAUCUGUGAAAUCUCCGGGCUUAACUCGGAACGGUCAGAUGAUACUGCUUUGCUAGAGUGCGGAAGGGGCAAUCGGAAUUCUCGGUGUAGCGGUGAAAUGCGUAGAUAUCGAGAGGAACACCUGAGGUGAAGGCGACUACCUGGCCUGUUCUUGACGCUGGAGGCGACGGAAAGCUAGGGGAGCAAACGGG
rnacentral:rRNA from 1 species